rnacentral:rRNA from 1 species
GACGAGGGGUCCAAGCGUUGUUCGGAAUUAUUGGGCGUAAAGCGGGUGUAGGCGGCUCUAUAAGUUAGAAGUGAAAGCCCUGGGCUUAACCCGGGAAGUGCUUUUAAUACUGCAGAGCUUGAAUGUGGGAGAGGGUAGUGGAAUUCCAGGUGUAGCGGUGAAAUGCGUAGAUAUCUGGAGGAAUACCGGUGGCGAAGGCGGCAUCCUGGACCGGCAUUGACGCUGAAGCGCGAAAGCUAGGGGAGCAAACGGG